rnacentral:rRNA from 1 species
UACGAAGGGGGCUAGCGUUGCUCGGAAUCACUGGGCGUAAAGGGUGCGUAGGCGGGUCUUUUAAGUCAGGGGUGAAAUCCUGGAGCUCAACUCCAGAACUGCCUUUGAUACUGAAGAUCUUGAGUUUCGGGAGAGGUGAGUGGAACUGCGAGUGUAGAGGUGAAAUUCGUAGAUAUUCGCAAGAACACCAGUGGCGAAGGCGGCUCACUGGCCCCGAUACUGACGCUGAGGCACGAAAGCGUGGGGAGCAAACAGG